rnacentral:rRNA from 1 species
AAGUAGCGACAAUGGGGGCGAGAACCCCCCACGCCGUAAGUCUAAGGUUUCCUGAGAAAGGUUAAUCCGCUCAGGGUUAGUCGGAGCCUAAGGUGAGGCCGAAAGGCGUAGCUGAUGGACAACUGGUUAAAAUUCCAGUACUUCUUUUGUUUUCGAUGCGGGGACGCUGCACGAAAUUCCCGGUGCGAAAUGGUUCCAAUCCGGGAGCUAGUGAGGUUGGGGAAGGCAAAUCCACCCAGCCGUCAGCCUGGAAAAUCCGCUAAGGUUAGGGCAGAAGAAUCCGUACCACAAACCGACACAGGUGGACAAGAUGAGUAUUCUCAGGCGCUCGGGUGAUGGUCUGCGAAGGAACUAGGCAAAUUAGCUCCGUAACUUCGGGAGAAGGAGUGCCCACCUCAGACGUGGGUCGCAGUGAAUAGCGUCAGGCGACUGUUUAACAAAAACACAGGUCUCUGCUAAGUCAAAAAAACGACGUAUAGGGGCUGACGCCUGCCCGGUGCCGGAAGGUUAAAAGGAGGGGUUAGUCGCAAGGCGAAGCUCUGAAUUGAAGCCCCGGUGAACGGCGGCCGUAACAAUAACGGUCCUAAGGUAGCAAAAUUCCUUGUCGGGUAAGUUCCGACCUGCACGAAUGGCGUAACGAUCUGACGACUGUCGGCGCAGGCCGCCCGGCGAACUUGUGGUUCCGGUGAAGACGCCGGAUGCCCGCCACUAGACGAAAAGACCCCGUGCACCUUUACUAUACUUUAACAAUGAAUUAUGGGAUGGACUGCGUAGGAUAGGUGGGAGGCUUUGAACCCGGAUUCUUGGAUUCGGGGGAGCCAAUGGUGAAAUACCACCCUGUUUAUUCUGUGAUUCUAACCUACCGACCUGAUCGGCCGGAGGGACAUUGUUAGACGGGUAGUUUGACUGGGGCGGUCGCCUCCAAAAUUGUAACGGAGGCGUGCGAAGCUUGGUUCAGGAGGUUUGGAAAUCCUCCUUCGAGUGCAAUAGCAUAAACCAGGUUGACUGUGAGACCUACAAGUCAAGCAGCUGCGAAAGCAGGCUAUAGUGAUCCGGUGAUUCUGUAUGGAAGGGUCAUCGCUCAACGAUAAAAGGUACGCCGGGGAUAACAGGCUGAUCGGAGUCAAGAGUUCAUAUCGACGCUCCGGUUUGGCACCUUGAUGUCGGUUCAUCGCAUCCCGGGGGUGUAGAAGCUCCCAAGGGUUAGGCUGUUCGCCUAUUAAAGCGGUACGUGAACUGGGUUCAGAACGUCGCGAGACAGUUCGGUCUCUAUCUGUGGUGGGCGUAGGAAAUUUGAAAGGAUCUGCCUUUAGUACGAGAGGACCGAGGUGGACGAACCUCUUGUGAUCCAGUUGUCCCGCCAGGGGCACCGCUGGGUAGCGAAGUUCGGUUAGGAUAAGCGCUGAAUGCAUAUAAGCGCGAAACCUUCCUUAAGAUGAGAUUUCCCAAGCGCAAGCUAUGAAGGGCCGUGGAAGACGACCACGUUGAUAGGCUGGGUGUGUAAGCGUAGUAAUACGUUAAGCUGACCAGUACUAAUCGCCCGUUCGGCUUG